GCCUCUGGCCGGACCCACCCCCGCCGGGUGACUCAGCCCGGGAGGCUUUUCCUUAUAUAACGCGGCGGCUCCCGCGGCUCCCACGGGAGCAGCCCCUGCCCAGGGAGCAGCCCCUGCCUCAGUUUCCCCGCCCGGGGUGUCACUGUCACCGCUGCCACCGCCGCUGCCACCGCUGCCAUGUGGAUGGUGUCCCCGCCGGUCGAUGAAGGAUCUUCCUGGCUUUGGGACACGGCAAAGGCGGGGGGCACAGCACAGGACCCCUAAAUUCUUUCCCUAAAGCUUAGCCCGAUAGGUGUUUUCCAGGCCACCAAAAAGCUGGUGCUGAGCGAGCGGGAGGGGCGGGAGCGGGCGCUGGAAUUCCUGAGGAAAAACGCCGCCAACGGGCUCUCGGUGGCAAACCUGCUGGCCGGGCUCUCCUCCAUCCUCUGCACCGUCAACAGGCAGUACCAGCUCUCCUGCUGGCUGCUCCUGCUGGGAUUCCUGCUGGAUUUGGCCGACGGGGCCGUGGCCCGGCAGCUCGACGCCUGCUCGGCACUGGGUGCCAAGCUGGAUGACUUUGCGGAUUUUACCACCUUCGGGCUGGGCACGGCCCUGCUGCUGCAGCCCCAGGGGGUGCUGGGGGGGCUGCUGGCCCUCGCCUACGUCCUGGCCGUGUUCGCCCGGCUCUGCUUCUUCUCCAGCGGGAUCCCCUUCACCUACCGGGGCCUGCCCUGCCCCUACCCCUCGGCCCUGCUGGCCAGCACCUUCCUGCUCUCGGGGGGCCACCUGGCCCUGCUGCGGGUGGCCGCGGCCGCGAUGAUCCUGGGCAUGACCGACUGCGGCUCCUACCCCCACGACAGGGUGCUCGAGUCCCAGCGCUGGAAGAAGCUGGUUUACGCCGGAGGGGUGGCGGCCGUGCUGCUGGCGCCGGCGGCGGUGGCCGCGGUUUAUUGCCUGGCCUGGGCCACGUCCUACAUCGUCUUCCCCUCCGCCCUGUGGAGCUGCAAGGCUUGAGCCCCGCCUAGAGACCAGUAAAGCCCGGCUUAGCUUUGUG